GAGUUUGAUCUUGGCUCAGAACGAACGCUGGCGGCGUGGAUAAGACAUGCAAGUCGAACGGGAGAAUUGCUAGCUUGCUAAUAAUUCUCUAGCGGCGUACGGGUGAGUAACACGUGAGUAACCUGCCCCCGAGAGCGGGAUAGCCCUGGGAAACUGGGAUUAAUACCGCAUAGUAUCGAAAGAUUAAAGCAGCAAUGCGCUUGGGGAUGGGCUCGCGGCCUAUUAGUUAGUUGGUGAGGUAACGGCUCACCAAGGCGAUGACGGGUAGCCGGUCUGAGAGGAUGUCCGGCCACACUGGAACUGAGACACGGUCCAGACACCUACGGGUGGCAGCAGUCGAGAAUCAUUCACAAUGGGGGAAACCCUGAUGGUGCGACGCCGCGUGGGGGAAUGAAGGUCUUCGGAUUGUAAACCCCUGUCAUGUGGGAGCAAAUUAAAAAGAUAGUACCACAAGAGGAAGAGACGGCUAACUCUGUGCCAGCCGCCGGCAGU
rnacentral:rRNA from 1 species